GACAGAGGGUGCAAACGUUGUUCGGAAUUACUGGGCGUAAAGCGCGUGUAGGCUGCUCUACAAGUCGGAUGUGAAAGCCCUGGGCUCAACCUAGGAAGUGCAUUCGAAACUGUAAAGCUGGAGUCCUGGAGAGGAAGGCGGAAUUCUCGGUGUAGAGGUGAAAUUCGUAGAUAUCGAGAGGAACACCGGUGGCGAAGGCGGCCUUCUGGACAGUGAAUGACGCUGAGACGCGAAAGCGUGGGGAGCAAACAGG
rnacentral:rRNA from 1 species